GAUCCUGGCUCAGGAUGAACGCUAGCUACAGGCUUAACACAUGCAAGUCGCGGGGCAGCAUGAAGGAUGCUUGCAUCCUUUGAUGGCGACCGGCGCACGGGUGAGUAACGCGUAUCCAACCUGCCUGUUACCACGGCACAGCCCGUCGAAAGGCGGGUUAAUGCCGUAUGUGGUCUUGAAAGGGCAUCUGAUCAUGACUAAAGGUUCAGCGGUAACGGAUGGGGAUGCGUCCG
rnacentral:rRNA from 1 species